rnacentral:tRNA from 1 species
AGAGAAUUGGCUGAGUGGUCUAAAGCGGUAAGCUUGAAACUUAUUUAAUCCUGAUGAUUACAUCCGUUCAAAUCGGAUAUUCUCUG